GUGCCUUCCCUAAUUAUGGUGUCCGAGGUCUUCAUCCCAUGCAAAAGGAUGGCCACCAGCGUGAAGACCAGCAUGAGGGGUCCAUAAAGCUCACCUGCGAUCUUCUGUGGGAAAUUGAUCAUCUUCACGGGAACCAUGGACUCCAGCAAUCUGGUGCGCACUUGGACGGGCUCCACGUCGAAGUAGGGCCGCAGGAUGUCGAUGUUGGCGUAGAGGCUGAAGGCCUUGGAGGCCUGCCUCUUCCCCACCUGCCACAUCUGGUCGGCCACCUGCCGCCCCAGCUGCCCCUGCAGCCCCUUCAUGCCCAGGAACUCGCCGUCC
rnacentral:lncRNA from 1 species